rnacentral:lncRNA from 1 species
GCUGCGUCGACGUUGCUGUAGUGUCGUGGGCUGGUCGUGCUACCGGUGCCGCCGCGGUGGAGAUCGCCGUUCUAGGCGCCGGCCAUUGGUUACCCCGAGGACACGCCGCCUGUACUGGAGGGUAUGCCGCGCCGUGGUCGUGCUCCGCCUGAGGGAGGAGCGCCGCGUCGAAUGCUGCACCCGAGAGGUGGAGGACGCCGUCGUCGCCAAACGCCGAGGUACGCUCGCUGGGGCUUCUUCCCUUCUUUUCUCUUGUUCUUGAUGCAGAUUCUUCUAUUCUUCUUGAUUGAGAAUUUCUUCCUAUUUUCGUUUGAGUAGCGAUCAAUCCAUCUCACCACGAGCAUACGCCGGAUGAAGCGAUUUGCAAAACAGAAUUUGUUAUUAGAUUUUUGAUUGAUUGCAAGAAGACAAAAACAAAUUGAAGAAUGUCCUGAUCCAGUUUUCCUCUUUUACAGAAGCAUGUCCAUUGAUUACUGCUGUGGACGGGAAUAUGGCUAAUCGAAUCGGCGGCAUUCUUCUCUUCUCCUGUGGCCAUUUCUCAGCGGAGAGCAAAAGUGCUGAUAACGUGUUAGAGAGAAUCGAGAGAGAGGAGCGAAUGGAAAACAGAUAUAUGAAUGAACAGUUAUUCUAUUGAUUGAAGAUUGGGGUAUUUAUACCCAGUUUACAAGGCGGUUACAAAAGGAGGCAGUUGC